AUUGAACGCUGGCGGCAGGCCUAACACAUGCAAGUCGAACGAGUGGCGGACGGGUGAGUAAUGUCUGGGCAACUGCCUGAUGGCGGGGGAUAACUCCUGGAAACGGUAGCUACUACCGCAUACCAUCAGAUGUGCCCAGAUGGGAUUAGCUAGUGGGUGGGGUAACGGCUCACAAAGGCGACGAUCCCUAGCUGGUCUGAGAGGAUGACAAGCAAAACUGGAACUGAGACACGGUCCAGACGCCUACGGGAGGAAGCAGUGGGGAAUAUGGCACAAGGGGGGAAAGCCGGAUGCAGCCAUGCCGCGUGUAUGAAGAAGGCCUGCGGGUUGUAAAGUACUUUCAGCGGGGAGGCGUUACCCGCAGAAGAAGCACCGGCUAACUCCGUGCCAGCAGCCGCGGUAAUAC
rnacentral:rRNA from 1 species